UACGGAGGGUGCAAGCGUCAUCCGGAUUUAUUGGGUUUAAAGGGUCCGUAGGCGGAUUAGUAAGUCAGUGGUGAAAGCCCGCAGCUCAACUGUGGAACUGCCAUUGAUACUGCUAGUCUUGAGUGUAGUUGAAGUAGCUGGAAUGAGUAGUGUAGCGGUGAAAUGCAUAGAUAUUACUCAGAACACCAAUUGCGAAGGCAGGUUACUAAGUUACAACUGACGCUGAUGGACGAAAGCGUGGGGAGCGAACAGG
rnacentral:rRNA from 1 species